AUAUGUUAAGUGUUGGUGGCUUAAAAAUCUGAAGAUGUCAGUGAGAAGGAACACAAAAACCAUGGUGCAUAAGUUAUGUCCAACAAGUCCUUUAAAAUACAGCUAUGGAUUGGAUUCAGCAGCCAGAGUCAUAUGAGCACCAGAUCCCUCUUGCUCCUAUGACAGAGGAUCCUUGACUUGUCUGAAAUGUACUGAAGCAGAUGCUCCAUUUGUCUGGUUAUGCUAUGCAAUGAUUCUGUCCAAAUACUGCAGAGGCACCAAAAGGGUAUUGAACAAAUCUUAUGGGGGAAGUAACAAGGACACAAAGGAUAACUAUCUCCAACUUUGAAGCUGUGCUUAAUUUUAAGUAAAAAAGGAAUUUGGCUCGAUGAAUUGAUUUGGUGCUUAAGGUGUUUCACAUAAUUUAGUUCUGCAUCCUCCUCUCUAUGAAGUAUCUUACCAGACUCUGUAUGCUAGGACAGCAAUUUCCAAGUUUGUGAAAGUCAAGUGUACCUACUCUGCUGCAUUAUUAACAGCUGAAGAUGCAGUCCAUUAUCUGAAAAACUUAUACUUAGAAUACGAGGAAGAUUCUUUACAUCUGAAAACUGACCUUGCCUACUACCACCAGAUUCAAGGUCAACACAUGUGUAACAAGACAUGUUGCAUCUUUUUGGUUGGGACCCUGGUAGGAUAAGGAAUGUACUAAAAAUAUUGCACUGCUAUAAAUUUUUACUACAGUGCCUUUAUUCCAGCACCAAGAGAAAACUAGAAACUUUGACAAACUAUGUUGGUCUCUGUAAUGUUCAGUAAUUGAUAUGACAAUGUAAA